rnacentral:siRNA from 1 species
GAAGUCAGCUACAUCAACAACAA